GUUUGGCUCCUCUGGGUUUGGUAUCUUGGUUGCAGUUGGGAUCUCUUCCUGUCCUGGUGGAUACAGUCCAGGGUUCUCUUCUGGAAUUCCUUUUCAAAAGGAAACAAUCACAGGUGAAAAGAAAAUGUCAAUAAAAGAAGACAAAGCAAGACGUGGAUGAACCCGCUGUGAUGGGGUGAUGAUGCCCACACCUUCUCCCAGGUCUUUGGAUCCAGCCGGUUCUGUGACACUUAAGACUUCUGAAAUUUUAUCUUCAGUACACUGUCCACUGCCUCUCUGUCUUCACUUCAAGCACAGCCCAAUGUGGAGGAACAUAUACCAGCGCAGACAUCUGUUCCUCGGGAUUCACUCAAGAAGCUGGAGUCGUCUGGCAGAGCACAUUAAAUGAAAGACACACUUUAUGGCCUUACCUGCAUUCAUACUCCUCAGGUCAAGAUAUCUGAAGGAAACAGCAAAAGGGGGAUCUAUGAAUAUGCUCACAAGCAUGAAAACCCUGCUGACAUUGAUUAAAUAAGUCCACACAAUGUUCACUGCAAAGUAAUCUAUGCUAAUGCAAUUUACUAGGAAGGAAGAAGAAGGGAGCUGGGCUCUGAGCUGUGAUUGAUGGAGCAUUGCCGCAGGAACCAGGUAGCCCAGCACUUCAGAAAAAUCACAUAAUCCCCAUGAAAAAUAAAUUCUGUCUGUUUUUAUUAGGAAAAAUCUAACUUAAAAUGCAUAAAAUCAUUUGUGUCUGGUUCUGGCAUGUUGAAUGCCAUGGUUAGAGGGAAGAAAAAUAUUCACAAAACAUGCAUAGAAGGAAUUCUCUUUUGUGUAUUGUUUUGCUUGGACUUUAUUUUUGGGAGGUGUCUCUGUUCUGAUUUUACUCUGAAAAAUGUGGGUUGC